UGUUGAUGUCCCCCCAAAAGUUCAACUUCUCUUGCAGCCACUGGUGUAUAUUCCUCCUUUUUCCAGGUGAGUCCUCAUGUCAUCAUGUGCCAUCAUCACUUCCCCAAGGACACAAAAUCCAGCUCUAGAACCGGUACAGGAGUCGAGGGAGAGGAGGUAGGGGGAAGGGAAUUCAUGUCCUUGGGCCAUUGUUUAUGUAGAAACUUACUCUCGAUCUAAGAGAUUAAAGUUGACGCAGACAGACGCAUCUAACUUCAGCCUGAGUUUACAACCUGACUGACCCUCUCUGACACAUCUGAUUUCAGGGUAUGACUGCAUUCCUUUUAUACAAGGUGAGGAUGAGAGACCAUGUUGGAUUUCUGUGUAAGCUGAGGAGGAAAGUGGAGCAGAAUGGGAACUCCCGCAAUCUGCCGUGCUCAGACAUGCAGAGAAAAAUGACAACUCUGUACGCUGUGUUAACAAGCCCACCUAAUGACUAGGUGGAUGUCUUGCACAAGAUUUUUCUGUGAUUUUCCUCCCUACAUUAGAUUUACAGUUAAAGGCAUUUGAGCACAUUUGUUCCAGGCUUUCAAAAAUGCAGACACCUACGCAAGGGCUUAAUCCCCUUUGCACAUGCCCCUUAAUGCUGUAGCAAUACUUUACUUAUUAGCAAUAAACAGGUUUAUAAACUAAAGAUGUCUCUCAAACUCAACUUUGAAAUUCAUUUUAAACUCAGUUAUUAUAAAUUCUCACUUGUUUAAUAUCAGACUCAAACAAUAAGUAAAGUUAUACCCCAGAUCGUGGUAAACCCAUGUUUUUGACCUUCUAUGACCUUUUUGACGGCGCUUAACUACCUCAGACUUCACAUUAGGCAAAAAGGGGGGCAAACUUUGCUAGAAAUGCAUCUUGAUUGUGUCGAGUCAUCUAGCCUGCAGAUUCAGUGGAGAUAAUGAGCAGAUAGAAGGGAGCAGUUUCAUCUCGUCCUCUGUGAUAUUCAGUCUGAGCCAAAACAAACAUGCGAGGAUCAGGGUGGAGCUUCCUGCUUGAAUCCUGGGAGAGGGCAUCUCAGCCCGGCAGACUCACAGAGAGGGUAGCUGUAACCAAGGCUACGUAUUCACUCUGUGGUGAUAAGCAGUGAAAGAGAUCACCACAAAGGGGUUAAAGGUCAAGAUGGAGAGGAGGAUAGUGGGGACUAACUUAGCUCAUGGGAGACUCAAAUAUUUCUACAUGAAGUUAAAUGAAGAGGGAAUUCUGUAGCAGCAGCGGCGGCGGCAGAUGCAUCUCAUAAAGACUCUAGUAUUCUCUCUUUCCAUACUAACCUCGAGUAUUUUCUUGGCUUGUGGCCCACUCCGAGAGGCCCCCUGUGAAUACGAAAGUUUGAGUGCAGCGUGAACAAAGAAGGUACUAAUCAAAGAAGUCUCCCUCCCUCUUUUGAUCACACCCUGAACAGCUGUUUCCACAAGCCGCUCUUACUCAUCCACUCUUGGCAAAGUGCAUUCUGAGAAUAGUGGCAUGCUUUUCAAUGAGGCUGGGGUUGCCAAGACAGGGACACUUGUCAGCAAGCCUCUGAGCAGAGGCUGGGGUCAGUGCCAGCGAGGGGGUGAAGAUGGAGAGGACCAGCAGGGAAAUAGAUGAAAUUAGGGAUGUGUGUUUAAGCAGCCGGACUUUACUGUGAUCAUUUUUCUGUUUUUAAUUUUUACCUGUACUCAGAACAGUAGUGACCAAUCAUGUAUGAGUAGGCACUGAUGUUUGUUAUUUCAUCAAACUUAAGACCUGAACCCUCUUUUCUGGGUAGAGUUAUACAACUCAUUGUUACCAGUGAACCUGUGUCUCUGAGACAGACGAACACAUGCUAUUCUGCAGGGUGAAAUCAACCAAAAAAUAUCUUGUUCUUUGUAGAUCUAUCUGAAGAAUGGAAAAAGGAGCCUUGGCUGGAAGUCAGUCAUUGUUAACCAUAGGCUGCACUGCACAAGUUGGAUUAUCACUUCCAGAAGCAUGAAGCCUACUGUCACAGAGCUAAUGUGAUCUGAGGUUGUAUAUGUAAGAGCUGCAACACAGACUGGUGGUAUGUUAAAAUGACACUCACCAACUCUCUGUGUCUGCCCACAGCUUUGUUGGACCAGACUGCUCAGUUAGCACAGUGCAGUGCAUCCAGGUCAGAGGCCUUUUGUUUCCAUCCAGCCUGUUGUUUGUUUACAUCACUGAAUUGACAAAAGGAUGAAAACUCGGUAGGUAUGUUCUCAUAGGUCUGAUAACAGGAACCUUAUUCAGAACUUGUUCUGUAACUAUGAGUCAGAGUGCUCUAUAAUAAACUAAUAUAUUAUGACUUCAUAUCUUAAAUGCAUUUCAACAUUAAUUAACAAUUAUCGUUACUUGCCUUCUUGCAAGUAAUGCCUUCUUGCUCUAACCUUGAAAAAAUAUUUAGUUGUUAUUCAUUAAAGCCCCAGUGAAGAACUUUUUUGUGUCAGAUUUGGCGGCCCCACGUUACUGAUUUUGUUGUGUUUGUGUUAUAGUGGUAUUUUCUGACACACAGAAAAUCACCACGCUUCCUUUAAGCUGUGAAAUAUGUCGCUAACGGUAAAAAGUAAACAAGGCUGUUUCUUUGCCAAAGAAUCCUCACAGAAGCUCCUGUGAGAAGUUUUUGACAUCUAUGAAAUAGACUGAAAUUCCUACUCAAGCCUUUUAAAAUGUACAAAAGCAAACAAGGCCAUGACUGAUAUGAUUGAUGAUUUUUGUAGUACAAUUUUAAUGCUUAGAACUGAUGUGGGGGUCGGUGACAACCGAGCAGCUUGAGAAAAAGCCUGAUUUUACAUUUUUCACAUUAAAUAUUCACAAAAGAUAACACAUUUGACUGUCAAAAGUCAGCAGGGUGAGAUAUUCUGCCAGAUGGCACUGUUUAAGCAUGUAGAGAACUGGAUAAGCAAAUAGUGCUUUGGCCAUAGGGGGCGCUGAAAUUUACACUAACUGAAAGGCUCCUCAAAGGAUCUUUAUUCAGCUAGCUAGCAAACUAUUAUAUUGCUAUUUUUGGCUUUCCAACAUUCAUCUUUUAAUUUAGGCACUAUCUAAGAAACUCAUUGGGUUUUUUAUAAGCCUCCUGUUUCAACCUUAUUUUUUGCUGGUUGAACUGUAUCUCUGUCACUUUUAGCAAACAGAUUUUAACACUUCCCUAAAUGCCUCUAAGCUGGCCAACUCACUUUUCUAUGAUUUAUGCCACAUCAUAAAAAAAGUAACUUCUUACAGAGUAAGAGUAGUUCUUUCUAAUAAGAACUGAAUUCACAAUCAAACUAGUGAAAAGUUGAAAAACCAUAGCCUAUAGUAGGAUUGCAGAAAGCUUACACAUCUUCCACUCAGACAAGAUGUAAAAGCUGGCAAAAGAAAAAAACCUUUACAUACACCCACAUUAACUUUCAAAAUUCCCCCCACUGUACAUGCCACACUGCACAAAUGAAGAAGCAAAGGAAGUGCGAUAACUGCUGAGCGUGACUACACACGGACAAGUGUCAUUAGUGCUCCAUUAAGAGCAGCAGAUGGCCGAUAGCGGCGACCCUUGCUGUGUUCCAGCUCACAGGAGAGCCAAUGUGGGCGGAAGCUGUCCUGCAGGGGAGCUUUUAGCUUCAGAAGGUGUUUUGGAUAUAUUUAUGUGACUCUGUGUGUGUUUGUUUUUGUGUGUUGGUCUGCUGCAUGUGAGUGUGUUUUGGAAAAAGGGCAUGCCCUUUAGCAUCUGGCCACAUGUGUCUCGCAUUAGCUUUUUGACUCUUUUGGCAGCUGUGUGCACCGCUGGGAACACAUUAGCCAGGCCUUACCUGAGCUCUUUGCUCUGAUGGCCUUUUGUGAAUAACACACUCACACACACAUACAUCAACUUCGAACAGUGAGCCUUCCUGGUGAGAGAACAGCGAGGCCUCCAAUCCAUAUUUCCUUGCCAAAAUACAACACCAGUGGGAGCCUAGAACGAUCAUUUGUUUCAGAGAAUUCCCAGAUCAAGUCAAGUAUUUUUAGUUUGAGGGGAUGUAAGCACAGAGAAGUAGGACCCAGUUCCAGGGGAAAUGACGGCAGCUUUCUGAUGGCUUCACGUUUUAAGCCUGAGUUUGGAUAAUGCAUUCUGCAGAUCAUGCACUUAAUAGAUAUCUGGAAACAUUUGGAAGAAAGACUAACAAGAGUUUCCUCAUGAAAGAGAGGUUAAAAACAUCAGGUGAUUUUCUGUCUGCACACUCAGAACUACAUUACACAGAUGGCUCAGAGUCCUUGACUCGAUGCUAUUUUCUCUUUUUAUCUCUAAUCAGGACUGAAGAAGAAAGCAGAGCGCGCGAGAACGUUACUAGCUAAUAGACUUCCAGCUCUCCCACUCAUGGGAGCGCCCUGACUCUCCCAUCGAGGCCAACCGC
rnacentral:lncRNA from 1 species